rnacentral:rRNA from 1 species
UCGGGAAUUUUGGGCAAUGGGCGAAAGCCUGACCCAGCAACGCCGCGUGAAGGAUGAAAUCUUUCGGGAUGUAAACUUCGGAAGAAUAGGAAGAAUAAAAUGACGGUACUAUUUUUAAGGUCCGGCUAACUACGUGCCAGCAGCCGCGGUAAUACGUAGGGACCAAGCGUUGUUCGGAUUUACUGGGCGUAAAGGGCGCGUAGGCGGCGUAAUAAGUCACUUGUGAAAUCUCCGGGCUUAACUCGGAGCGGCCAAGUGAUACUGUUAGGCUAGAGUGCAGAAAGGGCAAUCGGAAUUCUUGGUGUAGCGGUGAAAUGCGUAGAUAUCAAGAGGAACACCUGAGGCGAAGGCGGGUUGCUAGGCUGACACUGACGCUGAGGCGCGAAAGCUAGGGUAGCAAACGGGAUUAGAUACCCAGGUAGUCCCUGAGCGGGCUGGCAAGGCGCAU